CCUACGGGAGGCAGCAGUGGGGAAUAUUGCACAAUGGGCGAAAGCCUGAUGCAGCAACGCCGCGUGAGCGAUGAAGGCCUUCGGGUCGUAAAGCUCUGUCCUCAAGGAAGAUAAUGACGGUACUUGAGGAGGAAGCCCCGGCUAACUACGUGACAGCAGCCGCGGUAAUACGUAGGGGGCUAGCGUUAUCCGGAAUUACUGGGCGUAAGGGGUGCGUAGGUGGUUUCUUAAGUCAGAGGUGAAAGGCUACGGCUCAACCGGAGUAAGCCUUUGAAACUGGGGAACUUGAGUGCAGGAGAGGGGAGUGGAAUUCCUAGUGUAGCGGUGAAAUGCGUAGAUAUUAGGAGGAACACCAGUUGCGAAGGCGGCUCUCUGGACUGUAACUGACACUGAGGCACGAAAGCGUGGGGAGCAAACAGGAUUAGAUACCCCAGUAGUC
rnacentral:rRNA from 1 species